GGAAAGAUUUAUCGGUGCAGGAUGGGCCCGCGGCCUAUCAGCUUGUUGGUGGGGUAAUGGCCUACCAAGGCGACGACGGGUAGCCGACCUGAGAGGGUGACCGGCCACACUGGGACUGAGACACGGCCCAGACUCCUACGGGAGGCAGCAGUGGGGAAUAUUGCACAAUGGGCGAAAGCCUGAUGCAGCGACGCCGCGUGAGGGAUGAAGGCCUUCGGGUUGUAAACCUCUUUCAGCAGGGACGAAGCGCAAGUGACGGUACCUGCAGAAGAAGCACCGGCUAACUACGUGCCAGCAGCCGCGGUAAUACGUAGGGUGCGAGCGUUGUCCGGAAUUACUGGGCGUAAAGAGUUCGUAGGCGGUUUGUCGCGUCGUUUGUGAAAACCCGGGGCUCAACUUCGGGCU
rnacentral:rRNA from 1 species